UAGCCCAGUGAUCGGGGUGCUAUUCUCGGGGUGUUUUCGAUAUUAAUGCUCAGAGUACACUCUGAGCGGGAAGGGGUUCUCAGACGUUUAAAACAAAUGUUCACCUCUUAUUGGUUAAGAAAUUGCAAAAAUCUCACGAGUGUGAUAUGUGCUGUUGCUUUCGGUGAAAAUAAUCUAGAAUGGUUGUGUAUCGUGCAAAUUUCUUGAGCAAGGGAUACGUUCAAGGUGUCUUCGUACUCUGGGAUCGUUCUCCGUCGUUUUGGCCAGAGCAAAAGUAAAGGGCGGGAAGAAAAUAAAAAAUGUACGCGAAUGUGAAUGAUUUGAAUCCUGUUGAUCUUUUGGAUCCAGCGAUAAUUUUCGGUGCUGAUGAUCUUCUUUUUCAAGACGACGGUGACGAGAAUCUUGAGUUUUUUCGACCAAAUGAACGAGAAAAUCACGCAUGAUUCAAACUUAUUUUGAAGAAAUUAUACCUGUGUAUUCAUUCUCAGAUUACUGUUUCAGAUAGGCUGCGUAUACGUGACCGUCUAGUCCGGACAGUCUUUUAUAAUCAAAAAGGAUUUGACAUCAGUCUUCGCCAAUCUCCAUGGCGAAAGAAGAAGAGUAGUUUUUAAAUUAAUUUUAUCGAAAUAAUUCUACAUAUCCAAACUUGCUAAUAAAAACCACCGUUUUUUAGUUUGGGCAGUUGAUGACACUUGAGACAUUUCUGAAACUAUUACAAUUUUUAUAGUGGUGAAAAUGGAUAAGAUAAUUUUCAGUGAACACUCAAAAGUAAAUUCUACAUCCCCAAACUUGAUUUUCUGUCACACUUCCGACUUACUCAGCGAACCUUUCAGAAAGUCCUUGAUGACAUUGGCCCCUUCUUACAUCCACACAAUCCUGGACCUGCUAGAAUGUGCCCAGGAAAGCAAUUGUGCAUUGCUAUAUGGACAUUUGCCAACCAGGAAGUAUACAGGUCAAUAGCUGAUCGUUUCGGCGUUUCAAUAAACACAGCAUGGAGAUACACGUUUAAUGUCGCUCAAACUCUGAAUAAUCAAGCUCACAAUUAUAUUCGUUGGCCUGAGGGUCAAAAAUUAAUUGAAGCAGAAGAACAAUUCAGGGCAAUAUCAGGAUUUCCCGGUGUUGUUGCGACAGUUGAUGGAUGCCAUAUUGAAGUCAGUGCUCCUUAGUUCGAUGAAGGGAUUUACGUAAAUCGGAAGCACUUUCAUUCAGUCAUCUUGCAAGGAAUGAGCGAUACCAAUAUGAAAUUUGUCGACAUAUUUGCUGGGAUUUGCGGCAGUAUACAUGAUGCUCGAGUAUGGCAGAUGAGUGGCAUUAAACAAGGAAUAAAUGAAGAUCCCGAACAUUUUUGUCCACAAGAAACCCAUGUCAUUGGUGAUUCAGCAUAUCCCAUUCAUUAUCAUUUGAUGACACCUUUUCGCGACAAUGGUCAUCUUACGCAAAACCAGAGGCAUUACAACACCAUGCACUCCAAAACUCGUGUUGUAAUUGAACGUUCAUUUGCAUUGCUGAAGGGCCGAUUUCGUAGGCUAAGGUACCUUUAUGUGCAGCACAUUGAAAAUGCACCUCUCAUCAUUGUUGCGUUCUUCACAUCUGUCUUGAUUUGGAGGAUGUAGUGGAUGAAGAAGUAGUUGACGAAUUCGUUGAUGUCGGGAACGAUGCAAUUGACGACCAAUAUGGCAGAGAUGUAGUUGCAGCUGUGGAAAAGCGCUUCAUAAUUGCUGCAUUAUUAUUUAACGCAAGAAGAUUAGGAAUCAAUAUACUGCAACAAUUGAGAAUAAGGCGGAAUAACAACGUAAGAAGAAACAAUCAGGGACUUGUUAACAGAAGACAAGUUUUAAGGAAUCAUGUGAGAAGAAGGCACUGAAGAGGAAGCGAUUUAUAUAGAUUUGCUAUUUUCCUGAAAAGUGUACAAACGUUUUAAAUACAUUCAUAAAUGAAAUAAAAUAUUAUUCUCAUUGC